GACAGGGAAGGAGAGAGAGAUUCAAUAGAUAAAACUACAAAGAUUCAAUAGACAAAACUAGUAAUUUUUAGAGACCAAAUAAUGCAUUUUGCCAAACAAGAAACACAUUUAGUUUAAAAUUCCAUGACAUGAUUUGGUUGUGACAGAUUAUCUGUUAGCAACAUAUUUCAAAACUCGGGGUACUCGUUUGGCACUGAAAACUGUCGAAAAUGCAAGAGUGCUUUGUGGCGUAGGUUUGUAUAAGCUUCUCCAUUGUUAGGUAGCAAUUGCAAUUUCCAUUUUGUCCCCUUGUAUAGAUUAGGUUUGAGCGAAGAACCUCAGCCAAUUCGCAAACAUGCGCUACAAAACGAGAAUCAUUCUUAUGGGUGAACUAUUGUUGAUCUCUGCAGCCAAAAAGAUAAGAAAUGAAAAGCCCAUUAAUCAAUCUUAGGAUAACCUGGCUUUGCAUCAUUUCACUCCAUUUUCACAACACUUCCACCCCCGCUACUCGCUAUUGGCACAAACCCAAUGAAAAAACAUGCUGAACUAAUAAUCAUUAGACUUACAACAUGACUCCGUGUGGCCAAUCAAAGGAAAGAGAAUAACCAAUUAAUUCUUAACAAUAUUAUAAUAUGCCCAAUAAAGGAGCUCUCGCUGCAUAUUAACCAAUGAACGCCAAACACCAUCUACAGCAACAUACAAAAAAACCAAAGGUGCUCAAGAAUCAAAAAUCGAUCUCUAAUCAGUUGAUGGUAGUACCAGCAGAAAUCUUUCAGUGUAGCAUUAGCAUAUAGCGCGCACGUUAUCCUUGUUUCUACAAAUUGUGCCACCUCCCCAGUGCUUCUCCUACACGGACUCUAUCUCCACGCCUAAUAUUGAACCUGAACUCUGAAGAAGAGUCGUCCCUGUCUUUGAGCGGCUUUAAUGUGGGAGCCUGAAAGACAAGCACUACUGUCGAUCCCAUAUUGAAAGCAGCCACCUCAUCCCCUUUCUUCAGUAUUUUACCAAUGCCCUCAGGUUCAUAUACCUGUUCUUCUGGAGGCUCAGAAUUCACUAGCUUUUUCCUUGGCAGGUUUGUACGAAAUUCUGGUUCAAUGAAAAGCUUAAUUGACCCAAUAUUUGUAGCACCAAUGGCAGCAAUAGCCAUGAAUCCUUCUUCCCAUAAACCUUCAAGUACAACCCUUUCAUUUUCAACAUAAAGAUUCCUGAUUGUUCUUGUAGCACGUUCAUUUAGAGGAAAUAAGUGCCCUAUAAAAAAAAAAUUAGAGAAAAAAAGCAGUGAAUAUAAUUAGAUCGAUUAAAUACUAAAGGGAUUUUAUAUUUGCAAGAAUAAUUCCACAAGAAUAAUAACAAACACAGGUAUAAGCUGCUAAAGAGAUUCAAACAUGCUUCUCUUCAUGUACUUGGUAAUUGGUAAUUAUCACAGUAGCUUAGAUAAAUUCUAUAAAUGAACACCAAUGAGUCCAAAAGCAAUCAGUUUGGCGUGGCAUAUGUACAUUCAGAUUCAGCAUUCCAUAAUUAAAAAAAAAUAGCAAAAAUCCUCCCAAGGCAUAUGGCAUGGUCAUUUUGCACAGCCCCACUCAUCUCCUUCCUAUUUUUCAUUGCUACAACAUCCUCUUAAGGACUAAAUAAUAUUUCCUUCUAUUUCUUGUUAUUCCUGGCUAAAUUCCAUGAAAUAAUUUAUCCAAGUGGAGCACUAUGUUCUUAAAGACCAGCUGAAGUUGGUGGGCUUUGGAGGAUCACAAGAAAGAAAUGCAAUAUAUUUUCUCUUAUAUUCUACCAGGUACCAUGGACCUUUCUAGAUGAUUCCCUUGUGAUAGACAAUUUGUCCUAUAUUUUCUCCCCACUCCUCCCCCUUGCUCUCCUUGAACUAGCAUAAUCUCUUUGCCUAUUUUAAUUAUUAUUUUGAAAGUCUUUUAUUAUUCAUGUUCACAUUCUUAUUGUCAUACCACAUGGAUAAAUGAAGUCAGAAAACAAACAUCUCAGCAUAACCUUAUUAACCAGUAGAUUGUCAACUAUAAACAUCAAAUCAUGGAUAUAAUAGAAACGGUUGUAAGCGUAAUCAAAGAACCAAGAAAAUAGUGAACCACAUAGUAUAAAAGUUAAACAAUUUCUUUUUAUAACCAAAUACAAAGCAACUUGAGUAACCUGCAAAAUGCCGGCGGACAAGGACAUUCCAUUCAACUGGUGAGUGUAUGCGAUGAUAGUCACCAGGCCUCAAGUAUAUCACACAAUAGUAAAGGCCCUUUGUUGGACUGCAAUCAAUUCUUUUGAUAUGUAAAUUGCUCAACUCAUCAAAACCUUAAUCCCCAGUACAUAGGUCAAAUAUGCAUAUAAUAUUCUUUGUGGAGUUCCGUGCUGACACAGUGUCCCUGACUUUAGGAGAAGCCAAUGAAAAUCUCCACCAUGACUUCUUACUGUUUUCUCGAAGAUUGCUUUGUUGUUCACUACUCUUUUCUUGGACAUCCCCAUCAGCUAUCAUAGGAAGGAAGGAACUAGCACCAAGAAGAGAAGAAACAGAGUAGGAAAGACCUUUGACCUGCUCAAUCAUAGCUCCUGAUCCUUUUAACUCUCCGAAUCUUAGUAUAGUGCCAUCCACUGGACUAACCAGUUACCAGGCAACAUGGAUCAGGGUCUAUAGGCCUGGUGCCUUCUUUCAAGGCACGGACAAAAAAUUCCUUCAAAGAAGCAUAAUUGUCAAGAGGCAGAGCUGCUUCUUCUAGGUUUGAAUGGAAUGCCCGAGCCCAUGCUCUGUAGACAUAUGGACGAAGCCAUAUGGGAAGUUCAAUGCCUGUCAAGGAACCCCAAAAUCUAGAAAUGGAGCGUAAAGGAAUCAUCCUCAGAAAUGUAGCCUUUACAUCUGGUUGAAACUCUAAUUCAAUUCCUUUUUCCCGUGCCUCUUCAGUCUUUUUGUCAUCAUAGAGACGACGUGCAUGAAGGGCACCAAGCAUGAGUAGAGUAGCCACAGUUGCACCAGGCAACAGAAAAGUACUACCUUGGCCUUGGGAGCUGCUACUACCGUUGCCAUUGAAGGAAGCACGAGCUUGAGACACUUUUUGGACCUUUUUAAGAAACGAGGUAAAGAAUUGGCGUUGACAAUGGUGCUGGUUGAAUCGUAAAUUAUGAGGGAAAAUAGGGACUUUAUGGGAGAACCGGAAUUUCAUCUUCUGUGGAAUGGUUUGAUUGGCAGAGAUGUUUGGUUUCGAUAGGGUUUUUCUGCAGGAACGAGUCCCGGAGGGAGGGGGAAAUGGAUGGUUGAAGUGAAGAAAUAAAACGACGAGUGUUUG
rnacentral:misc_RNA from 1 species